rnacentral:rRNA from 1 species
CCUUUGACGUUAGCGGCGGACGGGUGAGUAACACGUGGGUAACCUACCUAUAAGACUGGGAUAACUUCGGGAAACCGGAGCUAAUACCGGAUAAUAUUUCGAACCGCAUGGUUCGAUAGUGAAAGAUGGUUUUGCUAUCACUUAUAGAUGGACCCGCGCCGUAUUAGCUAGUUGGUAAGGUAACGGCUUACCAAGGCACGAUACGUAGCCGACCUGAGAGGGUGAUCGGCCACACUGGAACUGAGACACGGUCCAGACUCCUACGGGAGGCAGCAGC